rnacentral:lncRNA from 1 species
AAUAAUUAGUUUUUUAAAUUUAAAAUUUUUCUAUGCAAUAGAUUCUUUCUCCUAACUUUAAUUUAUUAUUUUCUAAAAUAAAUUUUUCUUAAAUAUUCAUGUACAAUGCACCGAUUAACAACUAGUUUAUUUAACAAGCAACCAGUACAAGAAUAAAGCUAAAAAAUCACCAACCCACCACUUUUAUUUUUAAAAUGGGUUCUCCUCAAA